ACGGGAGGCAGCAGUGGGGAAUAUUGGGCAAUGGGCGCAAGCCUGACCCAGCAACGCCGCGUGAAGGAAGAAGGUCUUCGGAUUGUAAACUUUUGUUGUUAGUGAAGAUAAUGACUGUAACUAACGAGGAAGCCCCGGCUAACUACGUGCCAGCAGCCGCGGUAAUACGUAGGGGGCAAGCGUUGUCCGGAAUUACUGGGCGUAAAGGGCGCGUAGGCGGCAUAUUAAGUUAGAUGUGAAAUUCCCGGGCUUAACUUGGGCGUUGCAUUUAAAACUGAUAAGCUUGAGUGCAGGAGAGGAAAGUGGAAUUCCUAGUGUAGCGGUGAAAUGCGUAGAUAUUAGGAGGAACAUCAGUGGCGAAGGCGACUUUCUGGACUGUAACUGACGCUGAGGCGCGAAAGCGUGGGUAGCAAACAGGAUUAGAUACCCUGGUA
rnacentral:rRNA from 1 species